rnacentral:rRNA from 1 species
AUUGAACGCUGGCGGCAGGCCUAACACAUGCAAGUCGAACGAGUGGCGGACGGGUGAGUAAUGUCUGGGAAACUGCCUGAUGGAGGGGGAUAACUACUGGAAACGGUAGCUAAUACCGCAUACCAUCAGAUGUGCCCAGAUGGGAUUAGCUUGUUGGUGGGGUAACGGCUCACCAAGGCGACGAUCCCUAGCUGGUCUGAGAGGAUGACCAGCCACACUGGAACGGAGAAACGGAACCGACUGCUACGGGAGGAAGCAGUGGGGAAGAUUGAACAAUGGGAGAAAGCCGGAGGCAGCCAUGCGGAGUGUAUGAAGAAGGAUUUAGGGGUGUAAAGGAAUUUCAGCGGGGAGGCGUGACCCGCAGAAGAAGCACCGGCGAAGUCCGUGCCAGCAGCCGCGGUAAUUC